AUCCGUUCCCUUCCUCUCUUAUAGCAAGAUUCCUUCAUUCCAUUGUCAAUUUUCUCAUCCUUUGAACGUUGCUUUCUUUCUUCAAACAUUCAUUCAUUUCUUUUAUUUGUCUUUCCUCCUCACUCACCCUCUCUUCGUUCUUCUUGCUGAAGCACACCACCACCAACAUGAAACCACGUGGACAGCACCACAACACCACUACAAUCAUGCCAUUUUCUUCUUCUCGGCCAAGGCUAUUAUUAAGCCUUCUCCGCUUCCAAUUAUUUCCAAGAAGCCAUGCACGCAACCAGCCUUCAUUCUCCCCUCUGUUUAUCACAGCCGAGAGCUCCUCCAUGAAAAAAAGGGGACAAUCACUACAAAGAGAAGGAGCCACGAUAGCAUAGGCACAUUACCACCAUCAUCUUCAUCUUCAUCUUCUCAUUUUAUGGGUACGAAGGACGGAAGCGCUUGACGACGAAGCCAAAGAACAAACGGAAGUGAGCCAACACGGGAAAGCAAAGAUAUGACUGGAUUUGAUUUGAGUCGCAACUUAGUAAGGAAAGCGCCUAAGGUUAGGGCAACUUACAUAUUAGCUAUGACUGCAUGAUAGGCGUCGAUCAACUUGACUUAUGCUUUAUCUGAUGUUGUUUAUGAUGAUGAGUUGAUGUUAUGAUGUUUUUCCAUAACUUGUGAUACUGUGAUAUUGUUGGAUUGUGCGUUUUGACGCGACUUCGGAGUGGAGAUUCAUUGAUCUGGUGAUCUUUGAUAUUUCGGGUUGGAUGAACAACCCUAGGCAAGUCCAAACGAGGGGUUGAGACUUAGCCAUUUGUUGGGAUUCGUUUGAAUACUUAGACUUUCCCCGGGAAACUUCUUUUGGGUGGUUUGUCUUUGGAAAACUUAGAAUGAUUAGAAUUUCGAAAACUAGAGACUUUGGGAGACUUAGAUUUUGAGAAAUAAACUCAUAACCUGACUAAUUCAAUUCGAAACGUUUUUACUAAAUGAAUAAUCAUAGGAGAAUUGGAGGGGAAAAUAUUUACGAAAGACGGGGAAAAGUCGACUUUUGUUGUGGGUUUGGAGAGUUUUGGAAUUGGGAAAGCCACUAAGGUGAGCUAUGGUGAUGAUUGAAAGUCACCGAGUACUCUAGUACUCUUGGGAGUGUUGUGGAGCCGUGUUGUAUUGACCGACACCUAGUGCUCUUGUUGUUUGGGUUGUGUUGUAUUGACCGACACUAGACCCUUGUGUAUUCUUGUUGAUGGAGUUGUGUUGUAUUGACCGACACUUACUCCGAGUUGUGUUGUAUUGACCGACACUAACUCAUGGUUCUGUUGAGGUUGGGUUGUGAGCUAAACACUUUCGUGGUAAGGGCGAUUCGUUGUUUGGCUAACCAUAUUGCAUCAAUCGGGUGAAUAACGGGAAUGGUUCACCUGUGCAUCUCAUGGUGAAUAACGGGAAUGGUUCACCUUGCAUUAAUGAUGAAUAACGGGAAUGGUUCAUCAUAUGGUGAAUAACGGGAAUGGUUCACCAAGGAUGAAUAACGGGAAUGGUUCAUCCAGGAUGAAUAACGGGAAUGGUUCAUCCAUAGUGAAGAACGGGAAUGCUUCACUUGUGGCGAACGGGAACGCGUCACAAAUCCGGAUUCAUGAUUGCAUAUCACGCAUACAUUCAUUCUGACUUGAACUGUGUGCUGUUUGGUUAUUGAAGCAAUGUUAGAGCCAUAACAUGCUAGGAUUGUUUAUAUAUAUAUAUAUCAACAUAUAUCUAUACCCCAUAUCACAUGUUGAGUGUAUAUCUACUUAUUUCUGUGAGUUGACCCUAGCGCCUUGGCUUUGGUUGUAUGUUUGUGUUUGGGCGGUCGGCCUGCUGCCAGAUGUCGACGGUGGAUUGGGUUUCGAUGGUCUUUCCCUCGGGGGGGAUCAGAUAUGAGUUGGUGGACCGUCAUGCCCCACCGCUUGGGUGAUCUAUCUUGUGGGUCAUCGGGCGACGUACCGGGGAAGGGUCAUGGAGGACCGGACUGACGAGAGUGGACGUCUGACGAAAGGAGCUUUACGACGCAUGGAGCUGAGCUUCAACUUGCCAACUUCAGUUCGCAGUGGACUUGGUACUGGGAGGGUAGGUUUAGGCAGGCGUCAUAUUUUGUGUAGAGCUCUGAUUCGCUUUGCUAUUGGGACAGGGUAGGUUCCCAACGCAUGACUUUUGUGUGGUUCUCUUACUGAGGGAUCACAGUGAGUCAGUCGGACCAUAGGGGUCUUUGCUUAGGCCAUUUUGAGGCCGACUUUCUCCUAGUGGUUUGUAAUUAUAAUUUUCUCACUUACACUUCUGGGUCUGUAUAUAUUUUCCUAAGGGCACACUACUUGGGAGUCACUGCGGGUUCGCGUGACGUGGAGUGCAGCUGAGGCUGUACAUGUGUAUAUAUUGUAUAUCAGUUAGUUUAGUUGUUUGGUUUUGUCUUUAUGUCCUUUAUCGCUUUUAUUUAAAGGAAUCAAUCGAAAAAAAAAUUACCUGUUUUCCGCGUAAAGUUUAUUUUUGGUUACUAAAGUGACACCUGGAAAUCGAGGUGUUACAGACGGAAGGGCUUCAAUCGCCCGUUUUAGAUAGAUGAGGGACCUUGACCGCUCGUUUUAAACACAGGGGGUGCAUACCGCACAUUUGUGAAACAUCAGGGGCCCAAACUGGAAUUAAGCCUAAUAUAUAUAAAGGACAAGUGCGCUGAACGUGGGCGCGAGGGAUUAGUCUCACAGUUGUCGGCUGUGGAGAUACCUUGAUCAAGGCCAAAAAAAGGAGAAGCAACCUUGAGGGCAAAAUUGUAAUAUAAAUGAGUGGAAAUUCACCCAUGGUCAUAUACGUAAAUUUGUGAAUCGUUAAAUAUGAAAUCAAUAUUGGUCAUUCAUUGCUUCUAAUUAUAGUCGUUCAUCAUUUUCUUAUGAAACCUUUGUACAACCUUUUUCACAUUCUUGGGCGUUCUAUUUGUUCUUUUUGUAACUCAUGAUUAUUGAUUAUGGUUACAAAAUCAGAAAGAGUUUCUUCCUUUUUCUCUCAUAUACAAAACAUCUUCUCAUUCCCCUUUCAAAUUAUUUUCACCUCUCCCAUAUUGAUCUUCAGCACAUUCAUUCAUGUGCAAGAAAUCUCUCUCGUCUAGAUUCUUCAAAAACACCAUUCAAGCACAAGAAGAUCUUCCAUCAGGUGUGACAUGUUGAAGACCACUCAUUAAUAAUGUAGGCAAGAGGUACCUAUUGUAGGUCAUAGAAAAGCAAACUUAAUUAGUGGUACAACACCGAGUAAAGGAAAAACUACUAGAGUCUAUUUAACCAUUAGUUUGGGAGCUAAAAAGGUUUGUAGAUUUGAAUUUUAGGCUGAAGAUGUUAAUGUAAAAUGCGGCAGACUUUAUAAAAUGACGAAUAUGAUAAAAUUAUUUUGCAGCGUUUAUAACUUUAUACAGUGUUUCAUAUUGCGAUAUUAUUAACUUUUUAGCUUUUGUUAUUC